GGGACCGGCCCGCCUCGCCGCUCCGGGACACCGGCUGGGAGGCUGACUUAACUUUAAUAGUGUACUACUAAGGUUAAAGCUGGUUCUGAAUCCUGAGGAUGUGUCCAGGCUGAACACUGCUUCUUUGGGAGGUCUGAAGAAAAUUCAGGAGCAAGACACAGCCAUGUGUUGUAGCCAUGGGAUGAUCACAAUGUUCAAGGUUAAGCAGCUCUCAUGUGUCUUCAGUCCAACAGCACUUGGAGGAUGGAUAUUCCAUGGGAUCCCUGAGCACAGUGGAGUCUCUUUGGUGGAGAGACAGAAAGAGAAAUGAGAUUAUGAAGAAUUCCUGUUCUCAUUUGAUAGAAGAUAAACUGAACACCAGGCUCACAAACCAUGACUUCUACAGCACUUCACUCUAACAAACUAAAAAUGGAGCUGCAUCCCUCUCUCUACAAGGCCUUUUAAGGAUAAACUGUCCAAUUAAGAAAUGACACCUAAAUUAUUUUUACUUUUAGUCCAAUAACCCAUGGCCUGCAAUGCAGACUUUUUUAUCCAAUUGGAUAUAUGGAUAAAAAUGGAUCUAUACAUAUACCACCCAAAGCCAUGAAGAAGGUGUAGAAGAAGGACCAGCCACCACCCUAAAAUCUCCAUCAUGCUAUAUAAAUAUUACUAUAUUCCAAAACCUUAAACUCUAAGUUUUCCACAAUGUGAUAAUACACACCUCUAUUCAAACUACACACCCAUAAUCCCAGUUCUGUUAUUCCAUUUUGGAAUCCUUCUCCACGGCCUCAGCUUAAAAGCAGUGUUCUCUUGGGGGUCAGUGCCUGACAGCACAGAAAGUCUAAAAUUCUCAGUAACCAGGGUUCCAGCACAGGGGGAAAACAGACAGAGAACACUUGUUUUCUGCACAAACCCUAAGGAGGGCCAUGAUGAGCAUUUCAUCCAAGCCCAAGGGAAAUCAGGUUUCUGAGAGCUGUUUUUCCUCGACAGCAGGUUGAUGCAGGCUGGCCUGUGCAUAGCCCAUCCACAGCUGCUGGGUGCUGCUGCUCUCUUGGCACUGCCAUUUUCUGUCCCUGCCACAUGUGAUGGAUAAUCUGUCAUGCCAAGCUUUGUUUCCUGCACCUGCCUCCCUCUUUAAUAUCCAAUGUCUCUUGAGUCCAGGAGCUUCAUAUCAAACUAGCCAAAAUUUCCAGGACUUCAGAAUUUGAAUUCCUGUAGUGUCAACAAAAAUAAAUCAACAUAAUAGGCUCCAUAAAUGAAAAUAUUUUCAUAUUUUCAGUGUAUCUGAUGAACAAGACUGGUCCUGUGUAGUGCAGGUCACAGCACCCGUUGAGUACCAAGAUCAGUAACCCAGUUCCUCCUGACUGAGAAAGUAAUCAGCUUUGCUCUUGCCAACAGUGGUUUCAGAAGCAUGCAAGUGCACUGAAAUAUAUACCUCCUCUGGGGAGAGAAGAGAGUUUUAAACUGGAGAGGACUGGAAAUCUGGAGCUUGAGUAAGGCUAAUCUAUAGCACUUCCAGAUUCUGUCUGUAUUUUUCUCCAGAUGUCUGCCGCUAUCCAGGUUAUUCUGGCACAUUUGAGCUGGAAAAUAUUGUGAAAUUUAAAGACUAUUGUUUAAAAUUAAAAUUAUGCAAAUGAGAGAAGGCAUGGAUAGUGCCUGAAACUAGGGCCAGUGCCUGGAAAGAGCAGGCACUGGGAAAACCACCAUCUGCACAGCCUGAAGAAUAAUAGCACUGAAAUGCUGAUCUAUGGAUUGGUGUUUCUAUCUGCUGUGGCUUCCAGCAAGCUUUCAUUGAAUUUUUCACUGCGGCUGAUACCUAUUGUCCUGUAUGCUCUAAAAAUGCCAGUGAUUGAGCAGGAUAAAUUUUUGUUUUGGCACUAAAAUACACAGAAAAUUAAAGAGAAUCAUGCUGCCACCACCAUUCAAGUGCAGUUCUGUGUUUCUCUAACAUAUAAAUGUUUGCAUUUCUUAAGUUUGUCAAUUUCAAACUGACCAAUUUCAAGAACUAAGGAACUUCAUAUCUGUUCAUAUCUUUUCUUGUAAAAGCAAAAUUAAG